rnacentral:sRNA from 1 species
UUCAAUUUCUAAUUGCAUGACACGUCUAUUAACUUGAUCCAAUUCAGUUGGAUUUGAUCCCAUUUCCGUACGAAUUGUUGCACAUGCUUGGUCAACUAAAUCAAUCGCUUUAUCUGGUAAAAAACGAUCAGUGAUGUAACGAUCAGACAAUUCAGCGGCAGCAACUAAGGCUCUAUCUUGAAUACGCACACCAUGAUACACUUCAUAUCGUUCUUUUAAACCACGUAA